GCUUUGGCAACUAGAUGCAGUGCUAGGCUUCACUCUGCAAGGUGUUUAAAAAGAAAAACAGGUUUACCCAGGAUUUAUCAUGGAGUGGAAUAAGAGUGCCUCUCUCUCUAGAUGGGAACUUUGCUUCAUGGGACAUUACAACUGUAUGCCUUAAGGCAGAAAAGAGCAUAAAGGUACCUGGGAAAGUAAAUCGCCAGAAGCGAAGAGCAUCCCCCUUUCAGAAUCCUAAAUUAGCGACGACGAUGGAGAGUCUCAAAAGCAAAACCUGCUUGCUCGCAUCAGAAAUUUCGCUGGAGCCCACCACAGCAACCUUUCAAGCAUGCGGUUCGGUUUCAGACAGACACAGCUUGUCUCUCUCCAGCCUCUCCUCUCACCCCCUCCCCUUCUAUUCCUCUUACAGCAGUGCUUUAAUAAAGUCACAUAAGUGAUUGAAAUUAACAUAAAUCAUUAUUAGUUAUUAGGAUUUGCUCUAAAUUACUCUGUGAAUAUAACACCAAACCCCAUCUGCCACUCCUGCUCUGGUAGCAAUAGAUUGCAGAUAAAAUAAAUGUCCUUACCC